GCAAGUCGAACGGAGUAGAAAUACUUAGUGGCGGACGGGUGAGUAACGCGUGAGAAUCUGCCUUCAGGACGGAGACAACAGUUGGAAACGACUGCUAAGCCCCGAUGAACCGAAAGGGAAAAUAUUUAUAGCCUGAAGAUGAGCUCGCGUCCGAUUAGCUAGUUGGGGGGGUAAAAGCCCACCAAGGCGACGAUCGGUAGCUGGUCUGAGAGGACGAUC
rnacentral:rRNA from 1 species